rnacentral:pre_miRNA from 1 species
AAAAAGACAAACCCUAGGUUUCCGUGUCCAACGUUUGACCCUCCGUCUUAUUUAAAAAAAAUUAAAAAGAUAAGACACGCAUAAAGUAUUAAUCAUGUUUUAUCAUCUAACAACAAUGAAAAUACUAAUUAUAAAAAAAAUUUAUAUAAGACAAACAGUCAAACGUUGGACACGGAAACCUAGGGUUUAUUUUUUG